GACGAACGCUGGCGGCGUGCCUAAUACAUGCAAGUAGGACGCACAGUUUAUACCGUAGCUUGCUACACCAUAGACUGUGAGUUGCGAACGGGUGAGUAACGCGUAGGUAACCUGCCUAUUAGAGGGGGAUAACUAUUGGAAACGAUAGCUAAUACCGCAUAACAGUAUGUAACACAUGUUAGAUGCUUGAAAGAUGCAAUUGCAUCGCUAGUAGAUGGACCUGCGUUGUAUUAGCUAGUAGGUAGGGUAAUGGCCUACCUAGACGACGAUACAUAGCCGACCUGAGAGGGUGAUCGGCCACACUGGGACUGAGACACGGCCCAGACUCCUACGGGAGGCAGCAGUAGGGAAUCUUCGGCAAUGGGGGGAACCCUGACCGAGCAACGCCGCGUGAGUGAAGAAGGUUUUCGGAUCGUAAAGCUCUGUUGUUAAGGAAGAACGAGUGUGAAAAUGGAAAGUUCAUACUGUGACGGUACUUAACCAGAAAGGGACGGCUAACUACGUGCCAGCAGCCGCGGUAAUACGUAGGUCCCGAGCGUUGUCCGGAUUUAUUGGGCGUAAAGCGAGCGCAGGCGGUUAGAAAAGUCUGAAGUGAAAGGCAGUGGCUCAACCAUUGUAGGCUUUGGAAACUGUUUAACUUGAGUGCAGAAGGGGAGAGUGGAAUUCCAUGUGUAGCGGUGAAAUGCGUAGAUAUAUGGAGGAACACCGGUGGCGAAAGCGGCUCUCUGGUCUGUAACUGACGCUGAGGCUCGAAAGCGUGGGGAGCGAACAGG
rnacentral:rRNA from 1 species